CCCCCCCGCUGCCCUCCCAGGGACACCCCGGCGCCCGGGCAGCCCCGUCCCGGAGUGAAGCGGCGGGUCCGGCCCCGGUGUGCGCGGUCCGCCCUCCACCCGGGGCGCACACGGGCAAAUCCAGCUGGGGAUGCCGGGGCUCGGAGCGGAGGGGAUGGGGACGGUACCGGUACCGUGGCGGGUCCCCCGGGGCGGGCCCGAGGGGGCUGAGCCCGUACAAACUGCUGCCAGCCGCACACCGGUUUUGUCCAGGCUGGAGUGCCAGCGUGAGGCCAGCGAGGCCAUUCCUACACAGUCCCAAGGAGCAGCCGGGACCGAGAACACACCCUACGCUCGUCAAAACACCCCACGGGGAGGGGGUUUUGCUUAAAUUCGACCCUCCCAACCCUGGUGCUCGCUGGGAAGCAGAGAAGUCGUCGUGGUACAGGGCUCAGCUCAUCCUUCUGCGAGCGUUCCCCGGCACAGCGAUGCAGCCCCUGCUCAGCCAUGGGCACCUCAGGCCAGGCUGAUCCAACACAUGACUAUUUUAUGAUGCAUGAGAAAGAUAGGAUUUCUUUGAUUAAAAAUAAAAUAAAAAUGAUAAAAUAAUCAAACCCCAAACCAAGAAGCUGAUCCACCCCGAGAGGAGGAGGAGGAGGAGGAGGAGGAUGGCUGGCCCCGCUGACCAGCCCAUGGAGCUCGCCUGCAGCACAGCACUGCCCUCCCCUCCCCAAAAACUACACAUCCCAGUUUAGGUAAACAGCAGAUUAAAUGUAAAAACUUAAACCAUCGACUUCAGAAAGUCCCUUGAAUUUAAUUAUUUUUAGGCUACCUUUCAUGUUACGUCCUGUAGCUAGACACACGUGAAUAGAAAAAA